UCUCCAUGAAGCACAACAAACUAGACUCCCUGUAAUCACGCUGACUAUUCGUCAGUGAUUCAAUCUCAUCUGUCUUGUUGGCCAGUGAUCUUACACUCCCCAUAACAACUGAUGGAAGGCAAGUCGCGACGGGCAGAGAGCCAGCGUACACAAGAAGGAAAUCGCUCGUUCUCCAACUGCCACACCGGCACGACGUGGGCAGCUUUGUGCCGAAUAUUCCGCCAACCGGAAGGACCGCCGCGGCAGGGCGGGACUGACGCGACACCGGCCAGUGAUUGGCGGACCCAACGGAGAAAUUCCACCACUCAGGCGACGGCGGAGGAGGAUAAAAGGGCGCGCUUCCGGCCGUAUGAGAGAGGAGAAUAUCGUAGCGACAAGACGGACUCCGUGCAAGCGCGGACAAGAUCGCCGGGUGGUGAGAGUCCCACCUACGAUGGACGCCGGCCCGGGAAAACCCUCGCCCCCGUCUCAGGAAUCCCGCCUCCGCCACGAGUAGGCUACACCGGCAGUCACGCCUCCACAAGCCCCGCACUCAUCCCCUCACAACCCACUCACCUCACCCUUGCACCAAUAAAUCACCGUUUGUGAAC
ensembl:lncRNA